UUGUCGAGCCUUCGACUUUAGUCGAAAAAGCGAGACUAAGCGAUCCUACUUUCCGUCGUCGUCGGCGGCGUCCACAAAUAUUCACUCUGUGGUUAAAGUUUUUGAAAUUUUAAUAACUUUCCUAAACUAUACUGGAUUUCUACCAAACUUGGACAGAAGCUUGUUUAUGAUCAUAAGAUAGUAUCCAGAAGUAAAUUUUGUAAAAAUAAAAUUCCAUUUUUUCCGUAUUUUACUUAUAAAUGGACUUAGUUUUUUCUGCGGGGAAACAUUUCAUUCAUUCUGUGGUUAAAGUUUUUAGAAUUUUUAUAACUUUCUUAAACUAUCCUUGGUUUGUACCAAACUUGGACAGAAGCUUGUUUAUGAUCAUAAGAUAGUAUCCAAAGUAAAUUUUGUAAAAAUAAAAUUCCAUUUUUUCUGUAUUUUACUUAUAAAUGGACUUAGUUUUUUUCUGCGGGGAAACAUUACAUUCACUCUGUGGUUAAAUUUUUAGAAUUUUAAUAACUUUCUUAAACUAUCCUUGGUUUGUACCAAACUUGGACAGAAGCUUAUUUAUGAUCAUAAGAUAGUAUCCAGAAGUAAAUUUUGUAAAAAGAUAACUCCAUUUUUUCUGUAUUUUACUUUUAAAUGGACUUAGAUUUUCUUCCAGUUAAUACUUCAUACAGUCUGCAGUUAAAGUUUUCAAAACAUUUAUUAGAUUCAUUAACUAUCCUAGAUUUUUACCAAACUUGGACAGAAGCUUCUUACAAUCAAAAGAUAGUAUCAAGAGGAAUAUUUUUAUUGAUUUUUUUCCUAAUUUUUGUUGAGCCUGUGAUUUACAGCAAAAGUAGGCGAGACACUGGGUUCCGCGGAACCCUUACAAAUUUUUGAU